rnacentral:rRNA from 1 species
GCCCUCGUACCUUUUGCAUCAUGCUUUAGCCAGUACUAAUCAAGCAAAAAGCAUUUUAGUUUGAUUCCCCGAAACUACGUGAGCUACUUCAAGACAGCCUAAAAUAUAGGGCCAACUCGUCUCUGUGGCAAAAGAGUGAGAAGAUCUUCAAGUAGAGGUGAAACAUCUACCGAACUUAGUUAUAGCUGGUUGCUUAGGAACUGGAUAGAAGUUCAGCCUCUUAGCUUCUUUAUAAACUAAAAGAGUUAGUCAAAAGAGGUUCAGCUCCUUUGAAACAAGACACAACUUUUCCAGGAGGGAAAAGAUCACAACACCAUAAAGGUAAAAUACAUCAGUAGGCCUAAAAGCAGCCAUCCCCUAAGAAAGCGUUAAAGCUCAAAUAUAUAAUCCCGACAUAAACUCUUGCCCCCCUAAUCCUACUAAGCCGCCCCAUGCCCCCAUGGAAGUGACCCUGCUAAAAUGAGUAAUAAGAGACAAAUCUCUCCUUGUACAAGUGUAAAUCGAAACGGACCCCCCACCGAAACUUAACGGACCCAAACAAAGAGGGCACCGAACAACCCCUAGAAAACCAUUCACCGUUAAUCCCACACUGGCGUACUUUUAAGGAAAGACUAAAGGAAAAAGAAGGAACUCGGCAAAUACCCUACU